GGCUUAGAAGCAGCCACUCAUUAAAAGAGUGCGUAAUAGCUCACUGGUCGAGUGAUUCUGCGCCGAAAAUUUAACGGGGCUAAACUAUACACCGAAGCUUAGGAUACCGCAAGGUAUGGUAGGAGAGCGUUCUGUACGGAGUGAAGUCGUAGCGAAAGCGGCGGUGGACUGUACAGAAGUGAGAAUGCCGGAAUAAGUAGCGAGAAUUAAGUGAGAAUCUUAAUGGCCGAAAGUCUAAGGUUUUUGGAGGAAGGUUCGUCCGCUCCAAGUAAGUCGGGAGCUAAGGUCAGGCCGAAAGGCGUAGCCGAUGCACAAACGGUUGAUAUUCCGUUACCGUCUACAAUUUAAACAAAGGGACACAUACAAAGCGUUUAACCCGGGCGAUGGUUGACCCGGGCGCAAGGGACUGAAAUAAGAGUAGGGAAGUAAAUGUGGCGUAUGGCGAGAAAAGCUUUGUGAAUAGAAGUAGACGCCCGUACCGCAAACCGACACAGGUGGACAGGAAGAGAAUUCUAAGGCCAGCGGGAGAAGGGUAGUUAAGGAACUCGGCAAAUUGACUCCGUAACUUCGGAAUAAGGAGUGCUCGAAAGAGCCGCAGAGAAUAGGCCCAGGCGACUGUUUAGCAAAAACACAGGUCUCUGCCAAAUCGAAAGAUGAAGUAUAGGGGCUGACACCUGCCCGGUGCCGGAAGGUUAAGAGGAGGAGUGCAAGCUCCGAAUUGAAGCCCCGGUAAACGGCGGCCGUAACUAUAACGGUCCUAAGGUAGCGAAAUUCCUUGUCGGGUAAGUUCCGACCCGCACGAAUGGUGUAACGAUCUGGGCACUGUCUCAACUACCCACCCGGCGAAAUUGUAGUACCGGUGAAGAUGCCGGUUACCUGCGGCAAGACGGAAAGACCCCAUGGAGCUUUACUGUAGCCUGAUAUUGGGUUUCGGAAAUCUAUGUACAGGAUAGGCGGGAGACUGGGAAGUAUGAGCGUCAGCUUAUACGGAGUCAUUGUUGGGAUACCGCCCUUAGGUUUCUGGAAUUCUAACCUGCGACCGUGAAUCCGGUCGGGGGACAUUGUCAGGUGGGCAGUUUGACUGGGGCGGUCGCCUCCGAAAAGGUAACGGAGGCGCUCAAAGGUUGGCUCAGCACGGACGGAAACCGUGCCUCAGAGUGUAAACGCAAAAGCCAGCCUAACUGCGAGGAUGACGGUCCGAGCAGUAACGAAAGUUGGAGUUAGUGAUCCGGCGGUAUGUGAAUGGAAAUGCCGUCGCUCAACGGAUAAAAGCUACCCUGGGGAUAACAGGCUGAUCUCCCCCAA
rnacentral:rRNA from 1 species